rnacentral:rRNA from 1 species
CCUACGGGAGGCAGCAGUAGGGAAUCUUUCACAAUGGGCGAAAGCCUGAUGGAGCAACGCCGCGUGCAGGAUGAAGGCCUUCGGGUUGUAAACUGCUUUUAUAAGCGAGAAAUAUGAUGGUAACUUAUGAAUAAGGAUCGGCUAACUACGUGCCAGCAGCCGCGGUCAUACGUAGGAUCCGAGCAUUAUCCGGAGUGACUGGGUGUAAAGAGUUGCGUAGGUGACAUAAGAAGUAGCUAGUGAAAUCUGGUGGCUCAACCAUUCAGACUAUUUGCUAAACUGUUAAGCUCGAGACAGUUAGGGGUAACUGGAAUUUCUAGUGUAGGAGUGAAAUCCGUAGAUAUUAGAAGGAACACCAAUAGCGUAGGCAGGUUGCUGGGACGGUUCUGACACUAAGGCACGAAAGCGUAGGGAGCAAACGGGAUUAGAUACCCCGGUAGUC